rnacentral:lncRNA from 1 species
GGGGUGGAGGUGGCCGCUAGGGGGCGCUGUGGUGUCAUUGAGCCCUAUGGGGUGGGAGGUGGCCGCUAGGGGGCGCUGUGGGGCAUUUGGAUCUAUGGGGUGGAGGACUGCCGCUAGGGGGCGCUGUGGGGCAUUGGGAUCUAUGGGGUGGAGGACUGCCGCUAGGGGGCGCUGUGGGGCAUUGGGAUCUAUGGGGUGGAGGACUGCCGCUAGGGGGCGCUGUGGGGCAGUGGGACCUAUGGGGUACAGUGCAGCCCUACGGCAUGCAGGGUGAGAAGGGGGGCCG